GCCGGGCUGGGGAUGGUCGGCGCCGCCCAGGCGCGGCCCCGCGGGCCCUGCCUGCCGCCGAGCCUGGGGACUUCGGCCGACCCCGACCUCGCCAGCUGCGGCCUGACUCCCUGCAUGGGGAACGACGCUCGCCUGACUUAACAAUCGUAUCUUUCAUCUGGGUAGUGGAUUAGUAAUAGCAGCCAGCUAUCUUCACACUCACAAAUGUGAGGAAACUGAGGCACAGAUAGCUUGAGUCCCUUGCCCGAGGUCACAUAGCUGGGAACUGGGAGAGUCAGGGUUCGGGCACCAGGCUGGACUCACUGAACUGCGAACAGCCCAGCUGCCGCUGGCCUUUGGCUCAUAGACCUUGCGCGAAGUGCCCCCAGAUACUUCCCCGCCACCCAGCCCCUCCACCGGGGCCCCUGCCUACGCUCUUCCAAUUGCAUUUCCUACUAAACUUUGUACUGUCCCACACCGCCUCAGCCUUUACGCAUUGUUGCCUGAACUCCUCCACCCCACCCCCUCAACCCGGAUUCAGUCUGGAGUCCCUACACUUGGCUCCACGUCCCUGCCCUACGGACCCAAACUCCUCCUUCACGCCUAGUUUCUUAGGAAAAUAACACCGCAGCUGAUCCGUAGCCUCCACCACGCCCAACCCCGAAUCUAGUCUCAAUAGAGCCGACUUUUGUGAUCUUCCCAAAGUGCAAAUCAGCUGUGCCCCAGUCACUCCAUUGCUCUUAUUUCCUAGCUGGUCUCCCCCGCAUUUCUCACCACUUCACCCCUUACUCUACAAUCCCAGGGCUCCCCUAUCUCUUUCCAUUUCCUCCAGCAAGCCGAACUAGUUCUGCUAGACUGCACAGCUGGUCUCUGAUUCCUCUAGGAAGACUGGCCUUCUGAUCAGGAACAGGGAAUAUUCACACAGAUACAGGCACCAGGGUGCUUUCGUGGAGACUUGUUGACGGACCAUGGGAGGAUUUAGCACUGAACUUGCUGCAUGCAACAGAAGCCCUACAGGGAUGGCUUUAACAGCCUACGGUCCAAAGGUCCCUGUGCACACCGGGCUGUGGGUGCCCUCUCGAAACACAAGCAGACAGCAAGGACCACUGGACAGACAGCAUGAGCACAGACUCCAAGCAAGCAACCAGAAAGAGGGGCUCCAAGGAGACAGAGGAAGAGGAAGAUGACACACAGAUGAUGCAGAUUGUCUUGGAAAUGGAAGUGCUCCAGAACAGGGAGACAGUAGAUGAUAUAAAAACUGAAAGCAGGGGUGCCUGGGUGGCUCAUAUGGUUGAGCGUCUGCCUUCAGCUCAGGUCAUCGUCUCAGGGUCCUGGGAUGGAGUCCUACGUCGUCAGGCUCCCUGCUCAGCGGGGAGCCUUCUUCUCCUGCUCCCCCUGCCCCUCCCCACUGCUCCUGCUUGCGCACUCUCUCUCUCUGUCAAAUAAAUAAAUAAACAAAUAAAUACUGAGAGCAUA